AGAGGCUUCGGCAAUGGGGGAAACCCUGACCGAGCGACGCCGCGUGGAGGAUGAAGGCCUUUGGGUCGUAAACUCCUUUCGUGGGGAAAGAAUGUGUCCGGGGUGAAUAAUCCCGGGCAUUGACGGUACCCCAAGAAGAAGCUCCGGCUAACUCCGUGCCAGCAGCCGCGGUAAUACGGGGGGAGCAAGCGUUGUUCGGAAUCACUGGGCGUAAAGGGAGUCUAGGCGGUUUGGUAAGUGGGAUGUGAAAUGCCCCGGCUCACCCGGGGACCGGCAUCCCAAACUGCUGAGCUUGAGUACAGGAGAGGGUGGGGGAAUUCCAGGUGUAGCGGUGAAAUGCGUAGAUAUCUGGAGGAACACCGGUGGCGAAGGCGCCCACCUGGCCUGCUACUGACGCUGAAGCUCGAAAGCUAGGGGAGCAAA
rnacentral:rRNA from 1 species